GGCACAGUGUCUUAGUGGUUAGCACACUUGCCUUGAAUCUCUGAGGUUGGGGGUUCAAAUCCCGCCUCCGCCC